rnacentral:lncRNA from 1 species
AUGGGAAUUCUCUUCACCAGGAUAUGGAGACUGUUCAAUCACCAGGAGCACAAAAGUAUCAUUAUUGGGCUGGAUAGUGCAGGGAAAACUACCAUCCUUUAACAGUUUUCUGUGAAUGAAGUUGUACAUACAUCUCCUACAAUAGGAAGUAAUGUAAAAGAGAUAGUGAUUAAUAAUACAUGUUUCCUAAUGGAGGAUAUUGGUGGCCAAGAAUCUCUUCGUUCUUCCUGAAACACUUACUAUACUAACACAGAGUCUGUAUAGUUGCUGUGAACAGUACAGACAGAGAGAGGAUUUCUGUAACUAGAGAACUCUAUAAAAUGUUAGCACAUGAGGACCUAAGAAAAGCUGGGUUACUGAUUUUUGCUAAUAAACAAGAUGUUAAAAAAUGCAUAACUGUAGCAGAAAUCUCCCAGUUUGUGAAGCUAACAUCUAUUAAAGAUCACCAGUGGCAUAUCCAGGCAUGCUGUUCUCUAACUGGUGAGGGAUUGUGCCAAGGACUUGAAUGGUUAAUGUCACGACUUAAGAUUAGA